rnacentral:piRNA from 1 species
UAAAUGUUAAUUGUGUGCCCCUUAAGUCU